rnacentral:misc_RNA from 1 species
CAACGUUUCUUGGUGCCCCUUGUCAUGGAAGCGACUGCCGCGCUACGCGCUGCGGCGGCAUCGCCCUCGCCUCCGUCUGCCUCGCCGUUACCGCCACGAACGGCUGAAGUACUUUUGUCCCUGGCGCACCGUGCGGACCAGGCGCUACACGAGCUGAUCACGACGCACCACGCCUUCGUGACGAAUCGUACGCAGCGCUUGCAUGGUGCCCUCUCCAUCGCCGCUGCACACGCGCAGCUGGUUCUACGGACAUUAGAAACGGUGCGGGAGCAGCGGGAGCGCGAGCGACACCGGGUGCACCAGCAGCUGCAGCAGCGGUCCGGCUCUUCGGCCUCUCCCGGUACUCGGACUGCAUCGCCCUCUGUGGCGAAUCGGGCGCCGACGAAAGAGGAGCGCCAGCUGUACAUGCGGCUGGAGAAGGCCCGCAUCGACCUUCGCCGCGUGCUUCCGCGCGCUGUGGCCGAGGUCGAGGACGCAGAGAACGUCACCGAGGGUGACGUGACGUCCACCUCAGGUCGAUCCGCCGCCAGCACCGCGGCGGCGCUCCGCUCGCUGCUCCACACGCGGUCCAUGCUCUCGAUGGAGCUCAAGAAGAUGGACACGGCGGUACAGGGGCUCGCCGGUUCCAGUGAGUCCCUCGCGACCCUUCAACAGUCGCUCCAAGAUGUGCACUCAUCGAUGGAGAUGGCACAGCGCAUGGUGCGCACGUUACUGACAGUGCAGUCGCGCGAUGAUCUGCUGCUGCGCGUGUCUGCCGUGCUGUUUGCGUUGGUGGUGCUGUACGUCGUGGCGCAGCGAGUCUUUCGCCUCUUUCCUACCACCGUGUACGUCACCUUGGACGAGGCGUGAGAAUGGGAAGGGGUGGGGGGCUCCGCGAUGGUGCGUGCCUGCGUAAUCCGCCCCACGUGUUUGUGGGCCCACGAGGCUGGUGUGAAGGGAAGCAGUUUUUGCCUUUACUGCUCUACGGUGUCGUCUCGAUCGCUCGCUCUCUCCUCCAGCGCCGCUAUGUUCAAGUCGCAUCCUCCGCUCACAUACACACACACGCGCGCCUACUCACACACGCGCGCGGUCCGCCUAUAUCUGCCUGCACUCUGCGCACGCACCGACCCUCAAGUCGACACGCUCACGGGUGUGCGACGCGCGUUUGCCAGCGCCUGUCCCCUCGCCCCUCGCAUCUCCACGUAUGGUCUCGGACGGUUCACACACACACACACCUCGACUGUAGGUCUUUCUGUCCUCCCCCCCCCUCUCCCCUUCUCGUGCAG